UACGAAGGGGGCUAGCGUUGUUCGGAAUUACUGGGCGUAAAGCGUAUGCAGGCGGAUCGUUAAGUCGGGGGUGAAAUCCCGAGGCUCAACCUCGGAACUGCCUUCGAUACUGGCGAUCUUGAGUCCGGAAGAGGCGAGUGGAAUUCCUGGUGUAGCGGUGGAAUGCGCAGGAUAUCAGGAGGAACACCAAUAGCGAAGGCAGCUCGCUGGGACGGUACUGACGCUAAGGCGCGAAAGCGUGGGGAGCGAACAGGA
rnacentral:rRNA from 1 species